GACGAACCGUGCGAACGUUGUUCGGAAUCACUGGGCUUAAAGGGCGCGUAGGCGGGCCUCCAAGUCCGGGGGGAAAUCCUCCAGCCUAACUGGAGAAGAGCCUCGGAGACUGGGGGCCUCGAGGAGGGUAGGGGCAAGCGGAACUAUGGGUGGAGCGGUGAAAUGCAUUGAUAUCCAUAGGAACUCCGGUGGCGAAGGCGGCUUGCUGGACCCUUUCUGACGCUGAGGCGCGAAAGCCAGGGGAGCAAACGGG
rnacentral:rRNA from 1 species